rnacentral:rRNA from 1 species
UCCUUAGAUGUUCUGGGCUGCACACGUGCUACACUGGCAGGUUCAGCGAGCUUCAUGCCCUGAUCUGAAAGGAAUGGGAAAUCUUUUCAAAACCUGCCGUGCUUGGGAUAGAUGUUUGCAAUUAUUCAUCUUCAACGAGGAUUGCCUUGUAAGCGCACGUCAUCAGCGUGCAUUGAAUACGACCCUGUAUUCUGUACACACCGCCCGUCGCUCCUACCGAUUGAAGUUUUCGGUGAGUUGACAGGAGGAUUUUUUUGAAACUGGUUCGCCAGUGGAUUUUAGAUCCAAAUGCCAACGAAUCGAUGGCUUUAGAGGAAGGAGAAGUCGUAACA